rnacentral:rRNA from 1 species
GUGACGGAGCGACGCCGCGUGGGUGAUGAAGGCCUUCGGGUUGUAAAGCCCUGUUAACUGGGAAGAAUGGCAAUUGGUUAAUAGCCUAUUGCUUGACGUAACCAGUAGAGGAAGCACCGGCUAAAUACGUGCCAGCAGCCGCGGUAAUACGUAUGGUGCAAACGUUGUUCGGAAUUACUGGGCAUAAAGAGCACGUAGGCGGUUGGGCAAGUCCGGUGUGAAAUCCCUCGGCUUAACUGAGGAACUGCAUUGGAAACUGCUUGACUAGAGUGCAGGAGGGGAGAGUGGAAUUCCAGGUGGAGCGGUGAAAUGCGUAGAUAUCUGGAGGAACGCCGGUGGCGAAAGCGACUCUCUGGUCUGCAACUGACGCUGAGGUGCGAAAGCUAGGGGAGCAAACGGGAUUAGAUACCCCGGUAGUCCUAGCCCUAAACGAUGGGCACUAAGUAGAGGGGUUUU